GGAGACCAGAGGGAAACGGAACGGCAGGCGGAGGGGCGGAGAGAGGCAACAUUGCUGGCUUUGCAGAUGGAGGAAGGGGCCACGAGCCAAAAGGCAAGAAAGCAGAUGCCCCCCCAGAGCCUGCAGAGAGGGACACAGUCUUCAGUCCCUUGACUUUGGCCCCACGAGACCUGCCUGGGACUUCGGACCUCCAGAACUGUAAGCGCAUACAUUUGUGUGGCUUUAAGUUGCUAAGUGUGUGACAACUGUUCCGGCCGCCAAAGAGCCGAGCUCAGUUAGGCCUCUUCCUCUUCAAGUCUCAGUGCACAUUUCAGCUCCGGGGGAAGGUGGGGAGGCUGCUUUUUCUUGCCCUUUCUAGGCCGGGGCUUUCUCCCCUGCGCUGCCAUAAUAUCUGGCUUUGAGCACUUACCCUGAGGUGCUUAUGUUCUGCAUCCUCGGCCUCAUCCCUGAGGGCAAGAUAGCAUGCUCUCACUUUGGCCUGCCUUUCCAGCAGCGCCGUACCUUCCCCAGGAGCAGAGCAUAAGCCCCAGCCCCAGCAAGCCUGAAUGUGGGGUUAGAUGAAUGAACGCUUGACUCGGACCAUAGCAACCAGCCCUUCGUCGCCACCAGAAAUGCUGGCGCUGAGCCGUUAAUGCUGCGGGGUCGUUCAAAGCCGCUCUUGGUGGCAUCGGGAGCUACCUGCCCCACUCCCUCCAGUGCGCCCCGGGAGGUGCAGGAAACAGCAAGACGGCCCCGUCCCCCCAUGCACCCGCACAAAAAGCCUUGCCCCCAGCCCGGCGUGCGUCAGCCCCUUUCGCAGAGCAAGGAGGGUUCUGGCUCCAGAGCGCAGAGAAACAGGCAUGAUGGAUGGGUUCCCGGAGCCCCAGACUCUGCUGCUCCCAUCUUUGUCUCAGCAAAGCCUGUAUCGGAUUUGGGCCUUCGAGCUAGUCACUCGUUUACUCUGGCCUCAUUUAUCAAACGUGAAGAAGAGCCGCUCUGUGCUCUGCUUGCUUUCAAGGCUUAUGAAAAAAGGAAUAAAAGAGGUCUGGCCAGGCCUUGAGUCCUGUCACAUAGUUGAUCCCCUAGGAGCCGAUGUGACCACGUGCUAAGAAGAGCCCGGGCUACCUAGGAAAGUUCACGUUGACACGGGAAGUGAAAGUGAAUUGCGUCACUUUCUGUCAUGUGACAGCUGUGUGCUGCCGAGCAAGUCCCCGAGCGCCUGUUUCCUCAGCGGUGAGGUGGCGAUCAUGACAGGUCCCGUUUAUUACCACUUCCCACGCAGCCCACCCUUUCCCAUUCAAGCCCUUCGCCAUUACCCUUAUUAUACCGUCAUACAGCUUAUCAGUGUUGGAAUAGGGGCUGGCUACGUAAUUUGUGAGCCCAGCAACCUUCUUCCAAACUGACUAAAACUCCUGAUGGCAGCAGCAGAACAUUGGACCAAGCCUGGGGCUCGCACGACGUGACCCCGCAGGUUGCACAGCCAAGAAGCCGGCCCUGGGCAGUCUGACUCCAGAGCCUUCUAUCUUAGCAUCUGUGCUACGAUGGGCGUCUCCUAAGGUGGUUGUGAGGUUGGAAGUGAGACUAAUGCAUUCCUGGCAGAGGGAACAGCAUGAAUAAUGGUCCGGAAGUGGACGCCUGGACACGGAUAUGCCUAAAGAGUGAUAAACCCUUGUGGCUACCGCUGUGGUGACUUGGCGGAAAGAGAAAUGUGCCGGCGGGUAGUCCUGGUUCCAGGCUGUGGCACUCCGGAGGCCCUUGCACUUGAAGCUGCUGGUGCUGGGGAGCGCCGGAAGGUUUAGAAGCUGGAGGCCAUGUGGACACAGGUUGCUCUGAGCUAGUGCCUAAGCCCUUUUGAGUAAGCCGCUGGUAUGGACCGUGGAAUUGAGGCUGGGACGAGAAGAUGCAGGAGGCAAUGGGACGCCUGCAAGCAAGUCUCUAAGCGUGGGCUGCCAUAUCAAAAUACCACGGAACGAGCAGCUCAAACAACACACAUGCACUUCUCACCGUUCGG